rnacentral:rRNA from 1 species
UGGGGAAUAUUGCACAAUGGGCGCAAGCCUGAUGCAGCCAUGCCGCGUGUAUGAAGAAGGCCUUCGGGUUGUAAAGUACUUUCAGCGGGGAGGAAGGUGUUGUGGUUAAUAACCGCAGCAAUUGACGUUACUCGCAGAAGAAGCACCGGCUAACUCCGUG